rnacentral:tRNA from 1 species
GGAGAAGUACUCAAGCUGGCCGAAGAGGCGCCCCUGCUAAGGGCGUAGGGCGGGAAACCGUCGCGAGGGUUCAAAUCCCUCCUUCUCCGCCA